rnacentral:rRNA from 1 species
CGGGUGAGGCAGCGUUGUUCGGAAUCAUUGGGCUUAAAGCGCGUGUAGGCGGCGGCGUAAGUACCUUGUGAAAUCCCUUCUCUCAAUGGAGGAAUUGCUCGGUAUACUGCGUUGCUUGAGGCAGUAGGGGUGCUUGGAACUCUAGGUGGAGCGGUGAAAUGCGUAGAUAUCUAGAGGAACGCCAGUGGCGAAAGCGGAGCACUGGGCCUGUCCUGACGCUGAGACGCGAAAGCGUGGGUAGCAAACGGGAUUAGAUACCCCGGUAGUCCACGCCGUAAACGAUGCGCACUAGGUAUGCCUGACUCUGACGUCCGGCGAGCCGAAACAAAAGCGUUAAGUGCGCCGCCUGGGGAGUACGGCCGCAAGGCUA